GGGGAAUCUUGCGCAAUGGACGAAAGUCUGACGCAGCCACGCCGCGUGAGUGAAGAAGGCCUUCGGGUUGUAAAGCUCUGUCGAGCGGGACGAACAUACAUACAGUUAAGAGCUGGGUGGACUGACGGUACCGCUAAAGGAAGCACCGGCUAACUUCGUGCCAGCAGCCGCGGUAAUACGAGGGGUGCAAGCGUUGCUCGGAAUUAUUGGGCGUAAAGGGCAAGUAGGUGGUCUCAUUUGUCUACAGGUGAAAGCCUUGAGCUUAACUCAAGAAGUGCCUUAGAAACGGUGAGACUCGAGUACUGGAGAGGGUCGUGGAAUUCCCGGUGUAGCGGUGAAAUGCGUAGAGAUCGGGAGGAACACCAGAGGCGAAGGCGGCGACCUGGACAGUUACUGACACUCAACUGCGAAAGUGUGGGGAGCAAAC
rnacentral:rRNA from 1 species